rnacentral:lncRNA from 1 species
CAGGAACCUCAGAUGUUCGCUGACCCAGAGAAAACACCCAAAACCUCACCCCUAGCCAAGAUCAACCUACCUGUGAGCAGCGUCGGGAUCCGCUUUGCGAUGGGACCGCUUUGGUUUCAAGAUCUGGUCCCUGUUGCUUCCUGACAGGCGGUCAGAGGUGUAACCUGGUGGCAACACAGAGCUACUCAGCGAUUUUGUUUCCAAUCGAGGGGCAUCUAGUCUUGUUUUUCGAAGAAUGAUGACAGCUCUUCUCUCCUUGAUGUCCUGUGGUCGAAUACAGUGUGUAAUUUCGUCGGCUGCGUAUCCACUGAGCACCGUGACGCUUCC